GAUGAACGCUAGCGGCAGGCCUAAUACAUGCAAGUCGAACGGUGUCUUCGGACAUAGUGGCGCACGGGUGCGUAACACGUGUGCAACCUACCUUACAUUGGGGGAUAGCCUUUCGAAAGGGAGAUUAAUACCGCAUAAGACAGUAGCUGGGCAUCCAUCAGCUGUUAAAGAUUUAUCGAUGUAAGCUGGGCAUGCGUCCAAUUAGCUAGUUGGUGAGGUAACGGCUCACCAAGGCAAUGAUUGGUAGGGGAACUGAGAGGUCAAUCCCCCACACUGGCACUGAGAUACGGGACAGACUCCUACGGGAGGCAGCAGUAGGGAAUAUUGGGCAAUGGACGCAAGUCUGACCCAGCCAUGCCGCGUGCAGGAUGAAGGCGUUAUGCGUUGUAAACUGCUUUUAUACAGGAAGAAACGACUCUUGCGAGAGGCAUUGACGGUACUGUAUGAAUAAGCACCGGCUAACUCCGUGCCAGCCGCCGCUGUAACAC
rnacentral:rRNA from 1 species